UGGACGAAAGUCUGACGGAGCAACGCCGCGUGAGUGACGAAGGCCUUCGGGUCGUAAAGCUCUGUUGUUAGGGAAGAACAAGUACCGUUCGAAUAGGGCGGUACCUUGACGGUACCUAACCAGAAAGCCACGGCUAACUACGUGCCAGCAGCCGCGGUAAUACGUAGGUGGCAAGCGUUGUCCGGAAUUAUUGGGCGUAAAGCGCGCGCAGGCGGUCUCUUAAGUCUGAUGUGAAAGCCCACGGCUCAACCGUGGAGGGCCAUUGGAAACUGGGGGACUUGAGUGCAGAAGAGGAGAGUGGAAUUCCACGUGUAGCGGUGAAAUGCGUAGAUAUGUGGAGGAACACCAGUGGCGAAGGCGGCUCUCUGGUCUGUAACUGACGCUGAGGCGCGAAAGCGUGGGGAGCAAACAGGAUUAGAUACCCUGGUAGUCCACGCCGUAAACGAUGAGUGCUAGGUGUUGGGGGGUUCCACCCUCAGUGCUGAAGUUAACACAUUAAGCACUCCGCCUGGGGAGUACGACCGCAAGGUUGAAACUCAAAGGAAUUGACGGGGGCCCGC
rnacentral:rRNA from 1 species